UCUUACCAUCCUGCUAUUCAAUAAAAGACUAGUUUUUUACCAAAAAAUAAAAAAUAAAGACUUGUUUGUCUUUCCAUCAUAUGAUCUCUUAUGCUUAUAUUUUAGGUGUUUGAACUCAUUAUAGAAUCUGUGUCACAUUGCGAGAUAUAUGUAUUGGAUUUUCUACAUAUACUAGUGUAUAUGGAUUUUAAAAUUUUUCUAAAUCCCAAAUGCAGGAAAAAAUCAGAUUAAAAUA
rnacentral:lncRNA from 1 species